GACGAACGCUGGCGGCGUGCCUAAUACAUGCCAGUUGAGCGCUGAAGGUUGGUACUUGUACCGACUGGAUGAGCAGCGAACGGGUGAGUAACGCGUGGGGAAUCUGCCUUUGAGCGGGGGACAACAUUUGGAAACGAAUGCUAAUACCGCAUAAAAACUUUAAACACAAGUUUUAAGUUUGAAAGAUGCAAUUGCAUCACUCAAAGAUGAUCCCGCGUUGUAUUAGCUAGUUGGUGAGGUAAAGGCUCACCAAGGCGAUGAUACAUAGCCGACCUGAGAGGGUGAUCGGCCACAUUGGGACUGAGACACGGCCCAAACUCCUACGGGAGGCAGCAGUAGGGAAUCUUCGGCAAUGGACGAAAGACUGACCGAGCAACGCCGCGUGAGUGAAGAAGGGUUUCGGACCGUAAAACUCUGUUGGUAGAGAAGAACGUUGGUGAGAGUGGAAAGCUCAUCAAGUGACGGUAACUACCCAGAAAGGGACGGCUAACUACGUG
rnacentral:rRNA from 1 species